GGCGGCGUGGAUAAGACAUGCAAGUCGAACGGGAUAACAUCUGUAGCAAUACAGGUGUUAUUUAGUGGCGAACGGGUGCGUAACACGUGGGGAAUCUGCCGAGAAGUGGGGGAUAGCUCGCCGAAAGGCAAAUUAAUACCGCAUAUGGUCAGUGAAGACUUCUUCACAACACCAAAGCCGGGGCAACCUGUCGCUUCUUGAUGACCCCGCGGCCUAUCAGCUAGUUGGUGAGGUAACGGCUCACCAAGGCUGUGACGGGUAGCUGGUCUGAAAGGACCACCAGUCACACUGGAACUGAGACACGGUCCACACACCUACGGGUGGCAGCAGUCAAUAUUUUUUCACAAUGGGGGCAACCCUGAUGGAGCGACGCCGCGUGAAGGAUGAAGGCUUUCGGGUUGUAAACUCCUGUCAUUUGAGAACAAGGUGCAUCGAUUAACUGUCGAUGCAUUGAUAGUAUCAGAAGAGGGAGAGACGGCUAUCUCUGUGCCAGCAGCCGCGGUAAUACAGAGGUCUCAAGCGUUGUUCUUAUUCAUUGGGCGUAGAGGGUGCGUAGGUGGCGGGAUAAGUCAGGUGUGAAAUUUCAGAGCUCAACUCCGAAACUGUAUUUGAUACUGCCUUGCUUGAGGACUGGAGAGGAGACUGGAAUUCACGGGUGUAGCAGUGAGAUGCGUAUAUA
rnacentral:rRNA from 1 species